CGGAACGGGUGGGUAACGCGUGAGGAACCUGCCUCAAAGAGGGGGACAACAGUUGGAAACGACUGCUAAUACCGCAUAAGCCCACAGCUCGGCAUCGAGCAGAGGGAAAAGGAGUGAUCCGCUUUGAGAUGGCCUCGCGUCCGAUUAGCUAGUUGGUGAGGUAAUGGCCCACCAAGGCGACGAUCGGUAGCCGGACUGAGAGGUUGAACGGCCACAUUGGGACUGAGACACGGCCCAA
rnacentral:rRNA from 1 species